GGUGUGUGUACUCUGUGUACUCUGUGUGCUGUGUGUACUCUGUGUACUGUGUGUAGUGUACUGCGUGUGUUGUGUGUGUGUGUGUGUGUUCUGAGUGUACUGUGUGUAGUGUACUGCGUGUGUUGUGUGUGUGUGUGUAGUGUACUGUGUGUAGUGUACUGUUUAGUGUACUGCGAGUGUUGUGUGUAGUGUACUGUUUAGUGUACUGCGUGUGUAGUGUACUGUGUAGUGUGUGUAGUGUUGUGUGUGUAGUGUUGUUGUUGUGUGUGUGUGUGUUAGUGUGUCCUGUGUGUAGUGUACUGUGUAGUGUACUGUGUGUUGUGUGUGUAUGUUGUGUGUAGUGUACUGUUUAGUGUACUGCGUGUGUAGUGUUGUGUGUGUGUGUUAGUGUGUCCUGUGUGUAGUGUACUGUGUAGUGUAC
ensembl:lncRNA